UACAAGCUAGCGAACCUAGACCCCUAGCGUAGCAAAGCUAGCGGCCGCUGGAGGUCCUACGCUUGCUAUUCAAAAUGGCCGACAUUGUUGUCGGUUUCAAGUUUGCAGAUGAGAGUUUCUUUGAUGCUCCCGUGAAAAAGGAAUAUUGGACCGGAUACAAAGUGAAACGAAUGUGGGAAAUCAAUGGACUAAGGGGCAGUACUUCUCCUCAUGGACAAUUAUGCCAAGCAUAAAGAACAAUUUGCAAUUCCAACUUGAAAAAAUGGAGCAAUAUGAAAAAUAUGGUACAAAACUAUAGUAGAUUUCAACAAGAAAACGGGCCAGGGAAGAUCACGAUGGAAUUUCUAUUCCAGAAUGGCUGAAAUCUUGGAAGGAGACCCUUCAUUCAUCCCACCAGUGACAUCAUCAUCACUGGGGGGUGUAAAAGGUGAGUGAACCAUUUAUAACAUAAAUAAGCAAGUAAAGCAUACUUUUAGUAUAGUCAUAUUUAGUAAAACAUUUGACAGUUCAAGUAUUAA